UACGUAGGGAGCAAGCGUUGUCCGGAAUCAUUGGGCGUAAAGCGCGCGUAGGUGGCCCUGUAAGUCCGUUGUGAAAGUCAAAGGCUCAACCUUUGAAAGCCGAUGGAUACUGCAGGGCUAGAGUACGGAAGAGGCGAGUGGAAUUCCUGGUGUAGCGGUGGAAUGCGCAGAUAUCAGGAGGAACACCAGCGGCGAAGGCGGCGCUCUGGGCCGGUACUGACACUGAGGAGCGAAAGCGUGGGGAGCAAACAGG
rnacentral:rRNA from 1 species